rnacentral:misc_RNA from 1 species
ACUCCAGGCCAAAUCAAGAAUGAAAGUUAACUUGAAUCAGCUGUCAUCAUCUACAGCACCAAUAUAAGUAAGGUCAGUCCUCCUGACCCUUACAGUCCCUUUAAGCCAGCUGGAGGCCCGAAGAUUAGAAUGGUCACCACUGCCAAUCACAGCAGAGUUGCUCGAAGAUGGACCUGAUCCUGCGCCAUCUUCCAAAAGAGUCCAUGGGUCAAUUUCCAUAUCAUUUUCCGGUUGCAAUGGCAAUGGCUUGGACUUCCCUGGCGCAUUUGUUGUCAUUCGUGCCAAAGGAAGAGGACUUUUCUGCGAUGGGUUUCCAGUGUAAAAUCCAGAAUAUGUGAUACUAGGUUGAAGUGAAGCAACAGAAGCAACAGGAACAGAUGGUAGAUGGCAAGAGAUGGACCAUC